rnacentral:rRNA from 1 species
AACGAACGCUGGCGGCGUGCUUAACACAUGCAAGUCGAACGCGAAAGGGACUUCGGUCCUGAGUAGAGUGGCGCACGGGUGAGUAACGCGUAAGUAAUCCACCCCUGUAUUCGGAAUAACCCACCGAAAGGUGAGCUAAUACCGGAUACGUUUAUCUUGAUGCGAAUGAUGAUAAAGAAAGGUGGCCUCUUCUUGAAAGCUACUGUACAGGGAUGAGCUUGCGUACCAUUAGCUAGUUGGUAGGGUAAUGGCCUACCAAGGCGACGAUGGUUAGCGGGUCUGAGAGGAUGAUCCGCCACACUGGAACUGAAACACGGACCAGACUCCUACGGGAGGCAGCAGUGAGGAAUAUUGCGCAAUGGGGGCAACCCUGACGCAGCGACGCCGCGUGGAUGAUGAAGGCCUUUGGGUCGUAAAAUCCUGUCAGAUGGAAAGAAACGUAUAUGUGCUAAUAACGCAUAUAUUUGACGGUACCAUCAAAGGAAGCACCGGCUAACUCCGUGCCAGCAGCCGCCGUAA